rfam:Ciona savignyi cont_59881, whole genome shotgun sequence.
UACCUGGUUGAUCCUGCCAGUAGUCAUAUGCUUGUCUCAAAGAUUAAGCCAUGCAAGUCUAAGUACGAGCUCUCGUACAGUGAAACUGCGAAUGGCUCAUUAAAUCAGUUAUGGUUCAUUUGAUCGUACAGUUUACUUGGAUAACUGUGGUAAUUCUAGAGCUAAUACAUGCGAGAAGCGCCGACCUCGCGGGAGGCGUGCAUUUAUCAGACCAAAAACCGGCCGCGUCUUCGGGCGCGUUCGCCUUGGUGACUCUGGAUAACUUUGCGGAUCGCACGGUCUAGCACCGGCGACGGAUCAUUCAAGUGUCUGCCCUAUCAACUUUCGUCGGUACGGUAUUUGCCUACCGAGGUUCUUACGGGUGACGGGGAAUCAGGGUUCGAUUCCGGAGAGGGAGCCUGAGAAACGGCUACCACAUCCAAGGAAGGCAGCAGGCGCGCAAAUUACCCAUUCCCGACGCGGGGGAGGGGUAGUGACGAAAAAUAACAAUGCAGGACUCGUUCGAGGCCCUGUAAUUGGAAUGAGUACACUUUAAAAGCUUUAACGAGUAUCCAUUGGAGGGGCAAGUCUGGUGCCAGCAGCCGCGGUAAUUCCAGCUCCAAAAGUAUAUAUUUAAAGUUGGUUGCGGUUAAAAAGCUCGUAGUUGGAUUUUGGGCGCAGGCGGCCGGUCCGUCGCAAGGCGUGUACUGGACGUCCUGGCCUUCCCUCCGGUUCUCCGCCGGUGCUCUUGACUGAGUGUCGGCGGCGGCCGGAACGUUUACUUUGAAAAAAUUAGAGUGUUCAAAGCAGGCUCUCGAGCCUGGAUAAUGGUGCAUGGAAUAAUGGAAUAGGACCUCGGUUCUAUUUUGUUGGUUUUCGGAGCGCGAGGUAAUGAUUAAGAGGGACAGACGGGGGCAUUCGUACUGUGCCGUUAGAGGUGAAAUUCUUGGAUCGGCGCAAGACGAACGACUGCGAAAGCAUUUGCCAAGAAUGUUUUCUUUAAUCAAGAGCGAAAGUCAGAGGUUCGAAGACGAUCAGAUACCGUCCUAGUUCUGACUAUAAACGAUGCCAACUAGCGAUCGGAGGGGCGUUACAUUGACGACCCCUCCGGCAGCUUACGGGAAACCAAAGUCUUUGGGUUCCGGGGGAAGUAUGGUUGCAAAGCUGAAACUUAAAGGAAUUGACGGAAGGGCACCACCAGGAGUGGAGCCUGCGGCUUAAUUUGACUCAACACGGGAAAUCUCACCCGGCCCGGACACAGUGAGGAUUGACAGAUUGAGAGCUCUUUCUUGAUUCUGUGGGGUGGUGGUGCAUGGCCGUUCUUAGUUGGUGGAGCGAUUUGUCUGGUUAAUUCCGAUAACGAACGAGACUCUGGCUUGCUAAAUAGUUACGCGACCAUCCCGGUCGGCGUUUAACUUCUUAGAGGGACAAGUGGCGUUUAGCCACACGAGAUUGAGCAAUAACAGGUCUGUGAUGCCC